UACGCCUCACAAGUUCCGCCCUUGGGUAGAGUCAGGGGUGUGGCAGAACAGAAAAACGGAGUAUGGACAGAGAUUAAAAGAGCUACAUGUUUUGGGAGUUUACCUGGGUAGUGUGAGCAGAAAAGGUCAAAGACACUUUAAUAUUGAAAUUGGAUAUAUGACAUAGCGACUACGGAUACAGUCGCGAGGGAAAGGAAGAAAAAGAAUUGGUCGUGGUAGCGAGUGAAAGCACUGUGAGCUAAAGAUAAUAGCUAAUAGCUAAUGGCUGAUGCCAUUAGCUCGUGUCCGGGCCAGCAGUGAAUUGGGGAAUUCUACCUCGUUAGUGAGCGAGAAGCAGAAGAGAUAAGACGGCUGCGUUGUGUGUGCGCCAUUCUGAGCGGACAUUACCGUAUGCUCGUAUUAAUACAAGGAGAUUGGUCAGGUUUUUUGUUUUGGGACAUUCUAUUCCAUUCGUGAAAUGAUCAUAAAUCAUUCUUGGAGUUCGAUGGCGAGCCUCCCAGCGGAUUCUGGAACGGGAAGAUCUGGAUAAUUUUGGUCAGCAUACAGGUGUUACUACACUCCCAGUGUGGUGGACAAAGGAUUCAAAUACGCCUUCUGGUGCAGUAUAUUUUUUCAUUAUCAUACUGAGACUGGACUUACUUGGACUUCUGGAAUGUUGAUUUGACUUUUAUUGUUUCCUUGGACUGAACUGCUUAGCACCGAUGAAACUGUAUAUGCACUGAAGAGAACAAUGUUAUUAUGGCGUUACCGGUAUUGUAAACUUUGGAUUCUUGUAUGAUUGAGUGAUUUGAAAGGAGUUUGGAUUUGAAAAUUAUCCAAUGGGAUUCUACUCCACACUGGAUAAACAGAUUUAGAUUGGGUGCACCCUGUGAUAGUGCAGACAUAAAAAGGGAACGUAUCCUAAGUAAACCAUUAUUCAAGAUUUACUUGUUCCUCACAAGUAGGAGGGAUUACUUAGUUUUUUGAUAUUGGUCUGUGAAGAGAAGAAAAACUUAACACGGUUAAACUUUUAUUUUGGUUUAUUCAUUUUCCAUAUU